rnacentral:lncRNA from 1 species
GAAUAUGUACUCGGAACCGAUUUUGAGCGUAAUAACAAUAAUGGAUGUUAUUCACAAAUUCGAAACUUGGUGAAAAAUAUACUAUCGAUUUGUUGAAAAUAUGGUGGCAUACCGUCAUGGAAUUGCCUAAUGCGCGAUUUGAAUGCACGAUUUUAAUUUGAUGAAAUGUGAUGGAUAUUAAACAGUAGUUCAACAUUAUUUACACAAAAUUAAAGUAGUAGUAACUUGAGACUAUCUACAUGAUGUAGAGGUUAUUUACAGAAUGAAAAACAAAGAAACUCCACCAAAGCAUUAUCCUUAAACCAAUUCCAAUUAAUCCAAGAAUCGAAAGAAAUAGCUUAUGCCAACUAAUAAAUCAAAAGGAGGAAUGGUAAAAUCUAUGAAUCAUCAAACAGCCAGGCAUUUAUCCUAACAUAUCGAUUCUUUAAGCAAGACUACAAAAUUUAAUCCUAUUUUCAGUCCAAAAUAUCAAAACAAUAAGCAGCUAAUAUUGUAAAAU